GUGCUCACUUCGGCAGCACAUAUACUAAAAUUGAAACGAUACAGAGAAGAUUAGCAUGAUCCCUGUGCAAGGAUGGCACACAAAUUCAUGAAGUGUUCCAUAUUUUU
rnacentral:snRNA from 1 species